UACACGACCGUACCGCAAACCGACACUGGUGCGCGAGAUGAGUAUUCUAAGGCGCUUGAGAGAACUCAGGAGAAGGAACUCGGCAAAUUGACACCGUAACUUCGGAAGAAGGUGUGCCUUUAGUAGGUGAACCUGUACAAGGGGAGCCCAAUGAGGUUGCAAAAAAUCGGUGGCUGCGACUGUUUAAUAAAAACACAGCACUCUGCAAACACGAAAGUGGACGUAUAGGGUGUGACGCCUGCCCGGUGCUGGAAGAUUAAAUGAUGGGGUGCAAGCUCUUGAUUGAAGUCUCAGUAAACGGCGGCCGUAACCAUAACGGUCCUAAGGUAGCGAAAUUCCUUGUCGGGUAAGUUCCGACCUGCACGAAUGGCGUAACGAUGGCCACACUGUCUCCUCCUGAGACUCAGCGAAGUUGAAAUGUUUGUGAUGAUGCAAUCUCCCCGCGGAAAGACGGAAAGACCCCAUGAACCUUUACUGUAGCUUUGUAUUGGACUUUGAACAGAUCUGUGUAGGAUAGGUGGGAGGCUUUGAAGUGUGGUCGCUAGAUCGCAUGGAGCCAACGUUGAAAUACCACCCUGGUGUGUUUGAGGUUCUAACCUAGGCCCGUAAUCCGGGUCGGGGACAGUGCAUGGUAGGCAGUUUGACUGGGGCGGUCUCCUCCCAAAGCGUAACGGAGGAGUUCGAAGGUACGCUAGGUACGGUCGGACAUCGUGCUAAUAGUGCAAUGGCAUAAGCGUGCUUAACUGCGAGACUGACAAGUCGAGCAGAUGCGAAAGCAGGACAUAGUGAUCCGGUGGUUCUGUAUGGAAGGGCCAUCGCUCAACGGAUAAAAGGUACUCUGGGGAUAACAGGCUGAUACCGCCCAAGAGUUCAUAUCGACGGCGGUGUUUGGCACCUCGAUGUCGGCUCAUCUCAUCCUGGGGCUGUAGCCGGUCCCAAGGGUAUGGCUGUUCGCCAUUUAAAGAGGUACGUGAGCUGGGUUUAAAACGUCGUGAGACAGUUUGGUCCCUAUCUUCCGUGGGCGCUGCAGAUUUGAGGAAGCCUGCUCCUAGUACGAGAGGACCGGAGUGGACACACCUCUGGUGUAUCGGUUGUCACGCCAGUGGCAUUGCCGAGUAGCUAUGUGUGGAAGAGAUAACCGCUGAAAGCAUCUAAGCGGGAAACUCGUUUCAAGAUGAGAUCUGCCGGGGCCUUGAGCCCCCUAAAGAGUCGUUCAAGACCAGGACGUUGAUAGGUCGGGUGUGGAAGCGCAGUAAUGCGUUAAGCUAACCGAUACUAAUUGCUCGUGCGGCUUGAUC
rnacentral:rRNA from 1 species